UACGUAGGGUGCAAGCGUUAAUCGGAAUUACUGGGCGUAAAGCGUGCGCAGGCGGUGAUGUAAGACAGAUGUGAAAUCCCCGGGCUCAACCUGGGAACUGCAUUUGUGACUGCAUCGCUGGAGUGCGGCAGAAGGGGAUGGAAAUUCCGCGUGUAGCAGUGAAAUGCGUAGAUAUGCGGAGGAACACCGAUGGCGAAGGCAAUCCCCUGGGCCUGCACUGACGCUCAUGCACGAAAGCGUGG
rnacentral:rRNA from 1 species